rnacentral:lncRNA from 1 species
GCCAUAAAAAUAUAGAAUGAACAAGCAUUCGAUUGAACAUUCAAAUACAGAAAAAAAAAAAGCUUAACAGAACACUGUUUUGGCAUAGGGCGACCAUAUUCUUUUCAAAGAAUAGUUAGACCAUAUUAUUUUCAAAGAACAGUUACAGAUUUUCGAUAUCAUAAUUCCUAAUACAGAUGAAUUCCUUAAAGCAUGACAGUUUCGUCUC